GGGCUGCGGCGAGGACGCCGCCCGGUGGAUGGCUCGGCUCGGGCGCCGAGGAAGGCCGUGGCAAGCUGCGAUAAGCCCGGGGUAGGCGCAAGCAGCCGUCGAACCCGGGAUCGCCGAAUGGGACUUCCCGCCACGGGUCUUCCCGUGGCGCCUGGUCAUCCGGGCGGGAACCCCCCGAACGGAAACAUCUUAGUAGGGGGAGGAGAAGAAAUCAAUCGAGAUCCCCUGAGUAGGGGCGACCGAAAGGGGGACAGCCUAAACCAAAUCUCCACGGGAAAACCGUGGAGAGAUGUGGGGUUACGGGUUCCCGGGCUGGGGGUAAACCCCAGGGAGCCGACCCAUGGUAGCCGAAGUGGUCUGGAACGACCCACCGUAGAGGGUGAUAGUCCCGUAGGCUAAACCAUGGGGGCUCCUGCCCGGGAACCAGAGUACCACGGCUUGGUUUUGCCGUGGGAAGUUGGGGGUCACCGACCUCCAAGGCUAAAUACGUCCCGAGACCGAUAGCGUACUAAGUACCGUGAGGGAAAGCUGAAAAGAACCCCGAAAGGGGAGUGAAAAGAGCCUGAAACCGGGCGGUUACAUACGGCGCGGCCCGUAAGAGGUGAGACCCGUUGAAGGAAACCGGGGUGACCCGGGAGUACGAAACGGGUUGAUCAGGGUCGCGCCGUCCGUCUUGAAACACGGGCCGGGGAGUCCACGGUAGUGGCGAGCUUAAGGGGGUCAAAGCCCCGUAGGCGUAGGGAAACCGACAAGCCCGCAGCCGCGUAAAGCGGCGAGGGGCGGGGUCCCAAAGGGCCUGGAGUCACUGCCGUGGAACCAGAAACCGGGCGAUCUAGGCGGGGGCAGGGCGAAACCGGGGGAAACCCCGGUGGAGGCCCGAAAGGGUUCUGACGUGCAAUUCGUUCCCAUGACCCCCGUCUAGGGGCAAAAGACCAAUCUAGCCCGGUGAUAGCUGGUUCCCGCCGAAGUGGGUCUCAGCCCAGCCUCGCCUGAGGUGGGCCACGGGGUAGAGCUACGGAUCGGGGGUGCGGAAGCCGAAAGGCUUCGGCCCCCGGUCCAACUCCGAACCUGUGGCCACCGUAGAAGGCGGGAGUGGGGUUCCCCGGCGUAAGGCUGGGGGCCGAGGGGGGAACAACCCAGACCGAGGUUAAGGCCCCUAAGUGCCGGCUAAGUGCCAAUCAAAGGGCGUCCCGCGACUCAGACAGCGGGGAGGUGGGCCUAACAGCAGCCAUCCUUUAAAGAGUGCGUAACAGCUCACCCGCCGAGACGCGGGGCCCCGAAGAUUGGUCGGGGCUCAAGCCGGCCGCCGAGACCUCGGGGCACGGCUCCGUUGGAGCCGUGAUCCGGUAGGCGGGCGCCGGGUCGGGGCAGAAGCCGGGCCGUGAGGUCCGGUGGACCCGAUCCGGGUGCAGAUCCCGGCGGCAGUAACAGCGAAGAGGGGUGUGAAUCCCCUCCGCCGGAAAGGGCAAGGGUUCCUCGGCAACGGUCGUCGGCCGAGGGUUAGCCGGUCCUAACCCGGGCCGUAACACGGACCCGGGGAAUGGGAAACGGGUUAAUAUUCCCGUGCCGCGGGGAUAGGUGCGGCAACGCAAGCCCCGCCUCCGACGCCUCCGGAUAGGUGGACUGGGGGCGUCCGAAAGGACGCGACCCAGCUAACCGGUGAAGGCCCUGGAGAACCGUUAUGGUGAGAAGGGGCUGAAGCCGGGAAUGGGGCUCCGUUAGGAGCCUUCCACCGACUCCGGGGGCCCUUGAAAAGGGGGCGGGGAACGAUUCCCCGCGCCCGUACCGAGAACCGACACAGGUGCCCCUGGGUGAGAAGCCCAAGGCGUCUGGGGGAUAACCCUGGUCAGGGAACUCGGCAAAUUGGCCCCGUAACUUCGGGAGAAGGGGUGCCUGCGGUCCUGGGGGAUAACCCUGGGUCCGCAGGUCGCAGUGCCUAGGGGGGCCUGACUGUUUAAUAAAAACAUAGGUCCCCGCAAGCCCGAAAGGGUUUGUACGGGGGCUGAAUCCUGGCCACUGGCGGUCCGUGAAACCGGGGUACAACCCGGCGAAGCGCCGCUGAAGGCCGGGAGUAACUCUGACUCUCUUAAGGUAGCCAAAUGCCUUGCCGGGUAAGGCGGUAUGGUGGGGUUGGUUGAAACACGUAGUCUGUUGGAGGGA
rnacentral:rRNA from 1 species